GUUGGGAAGAUGCAGGGAUCUCUGUGCAGACAGAGUGUCUUUUGUAUCUCGGGCAGAAUGACUCCUUGGCUCCAAGCCACAGCCAAGCAAAUAGCAGAGCAGAUUCAUUAUGUCCUAGUGCUGCUACCAGGCUGAACAUCUAGGAAUUAAAUGAUAGACAAAGAAUCCUGGGACUCUUGGGCUCCUAUCUCACCAGUGAAAAGUAGGAGAUCAGCUUAUUCCAGCCCCGGGGUAAUGGGAUAGGAUCCAGGAACUGCGCUGAGACUUGAUCAGUCCUGCAGAGCUGUGUUUGAAAGACGUGGAAGACAACAGUUGUGCCAAAAAGGACUCUCCUUCCUCCUGCACCACCAUC
rnacentral:lncRNA from 1 species